AAUCAGCUAAACCAAAUGGGUUUAGGGGGCUGACCAAACUGGACUACCAGCCAUUAGCGGCUUAUGAGGUUGACCCAACAACUAACUGGCUACCAUGUUUGUAGCUGACACAGAAAAGGUGUAUUUCUUGCUGAAUAUUUUGUUACCCUUUUUAAAAGUAUUUGUUUGUUUGUAACAAAUGUUGUUUAAUAAUUGAAUGUUUAUUUGAGUAUUGUAUAUGUUUAACAAUUGCCAAUAGUGACACCUACUGGUGAAAAUAUGUAGCAUUGUACGUAUGUAGGUCACAUGGUUUGAUAAGCUGCAUUGAGCAUUGGGAAAGCACGAGGUGAUCACGAACGGAGAAGUGUAAGAUCGUAAGAAGUAAAAGAUUAAUAAGAUUGUUUGUUAAGAAGAUCUCUAAUGUCUCCUGAAUCCUGAUUGGAAAGCACACGUUUUUCACGGUUCUCAGAUGUUUGUGAUGACAAGGGGACAGACAUUAAAACUGAAAAUCUGAAUCUG